rnacentral:snRNA from 1 species
GCUUGCACCUCUGUCACAUAUUAAAAUUGGAACGAUACAGAGAAGAUUAGCAUGGCCCCUGCACAGUUGAUGCGAUUUAGUGGAAAAUGUAUGUGGAAAAU